CUAGGAGAACCGAAAACAGUUCUAGACAGACCUGCGGUUUUAUAGCACUUUUGGCAGUCAACUUCAGCUUGUGCCUGAGCAGUGGGGCCCGAGGUGGCCCGCCUGCGGGGGACGCCAGGCUGCCUCCCCCGGCUACACGCAGCCCCUCUUAAUUAGAUCGGCUUCCCUUGGUGCCAGGGAGAGGGGUCCCCGCAGAAAGG
rnacentral:lncRNA from 1 species